CCUACGGGUGGCAGCAGUGAGGAAUAUUGGUCAAUGGUCGGGAGACUGAACCAGCCAAGCCGCGUGAGGGAGGAAGGUACAGAGUAUCGUAAACCUCUUUUGUCAGGGAACAAAGACUGGGACGCGUCCCCGGAUGAGUGUACCUGACGCAAAAGCAUCGGCUAACUCCGUGCCAGCAGCCGCGGUAAUCCGGAGGAUGCGAGGGUUAUCCGGAUUUAUUGGGUUUAUAGGGUGCGUAGUCGGAUUUUUAAGUCAGCGGUAAAAUGUCCGGGCUCAGCCCGGGCCGGCCGUUGAAACUGGGAGUCUUGAGUGGGCGAGAGGUAGGCGGAAUGCGUGGUGUAGCGGUGAAAUGCAUAGAUAUCACGCAGAACUCCGAUUGCGAAGGCAGCAUACCGGAGCCCGACUGACGCUGAGGCACGAAAGCGUGGGGAUCGAACAGGAUUAGAUACCCCUGUAGUC
rnacentral:rRNA from 1 species